UUAAGUAAAUAUAAAUUCACUGCUAACUUUGUUUUCAAAUAUAGUUUUGCAUAUAAGAUUAUGUUAUAAUGCAAAAAAAAAAAAAUUCUUUAUAAUAAAAUUAAUGUAAGAAUUAUAUAUUGUAAGAUUCUUUAUAAUUUAUUUCAAAUCUUCUAAUCAAUUAUAUUGAUAACAUGGUUAACUUUGUUUUAGCUUGUGGAAAAAUACCAGGGAAGAGUGAAGUUCUUCUUUAUAUAUAAAGAUAUAUAUAUAUAUUCCUAUAAGAUUCUAACAAACACAUGUAUGUAUAAAUAGUAACAAUAGCUUCAUAGUAUCUAUUUAUCUGUCUUAAAAUAUUUUUAGUUUUAGUGAUAAAGUUAUUUUUUCAUUGUGUUAAUCAUUAGUUUUCCAAAAUGGUAUUAGCGUAAAAAACAAUUCAAUUUUGAAACAAAUAUAAAACUAAGAGAGAAAAUGAGCUCAUCUAUUUACUCCAAUCAAUGGUAUUUUUUUAUUUAAAAAAGCUAUGUUAGUUAUUGGUAUAACUGAACUAAAGUAAACAUUGAGAGAAAGUAAAUAGUUAUAUUUUCUAUAAAAAGUAUUAUAGUUAGACAAGUAUAUAAAUUUUAAAACGAAUAUCAAAACAAAUAACUAAAAUUAUUAUAAAAAACUAUGAAUGUUAAUGCUACUUUAGAUAACAGUAAAUUAAACAUAUAAAAUAAAUUUAUACUAUUAAUUUGUUUAUUCGCCCGCCCGUAGGGCGGGUUUAUCCUAGUAUAUAUAUAUAUAUCUAAAAAUAUGUUCUCUCUAUCCUGGUGAAGCCACAUAGGAUCCAUGUCACAAAAUCGGCUCUUAUGAGCACGACUCGUGUCCAAACCUGUGAAACUCUGCGUUUCAUUUAAUUGAGUUAUGUUUUGUUUGUUAACAUGUUAAUGAGCUUAUAAACAUUUAAUGGGCUCUUAUUUCGUUAUAGAUUGUGAUCAGUCGAAAUGCAGUCCAACAGAGAGAUGUCGUCUUCCCCGAUGUCGAGACAAAAAAUUAGGGUUUGUGUCCUCUUCGUUCUACACCAGCUAUGGAGGAGAUUUGAUGAAUUGAGUGAGUCAAAUCGACGUGAAGAACCUCUAUGCCAAGCUUCAAUUGUGUCGUUUCUUCUUCUGUUGUAAUUCUCCGAAGCGUUACGUAACAACCUUCUUAAAUGCUUACACGAUUUGUGAUUCAUUGUAUCUCACUUUAUCCCUUUUCCAAGCAAUGGAUCUCCACCUAUAAAAAGUUAAGACCUCAUCUCUUGAGAAUCAUCCUCACAAAUCCGAUAGCAUUUGAUAUUUUUCUCAGUAUAAUAGCUAACUCCUCAGCUCUACUUGCUGAUCUGAAUUCUGGGUUGUUCUUCCAAUGUGGAGGUGAGGUUGCUCAGAUUCUGGGAAGUUGGCAUGCUUCUCAUCGAUUCUAAGGUGUUCUGUUUUUAAAACACAUCUUAGUAUUGAAACAAAUUCUAGCGUAUAAUCUCAAAAUUUUCAAAAAAAAUUGUAUCCUAACAUUUAUUUCAACUAUUUCAGAGAAGCAUUGGUAAUCAGGAGCCAUCCUUUUAUCACUCUCUCUCCCUGAGUCUCUGUUUCCAUAUAAGGCAAAAAACUAUAACUUUCUUUCUUUUGCUUUUGAGAAUGAAGGGACAGAGGAUAACCUUUAGUGGACAAAUCCUUAACUAUCAAACCACAGUGGCACAAUUGGUGGAACUCCUUGGAGAUGAGACUGCUGCAGCUGAUUUACGAUGUUGGUUUGGGAAGCAAUAGCUAUCUUAAUAAUUAUGUUCAUGUCUAAGCUUUACACCACUAGAAGACAGUACAUUCUCGCACAAUAAGUUGUUGAUCUUAUCAAUGGUUACAACGACUAGCUCAAUGCCUGAACCGCAAAUCUCCAAAGUUAUGAACUGAACGUGCAAAACAAAAGCCAAGCUUAUCACAUGAGAUCUUUUUAGUAAGGGUCAAUAUUUAUGGCAAGACGAAUGUUUUUUUUGCUUAUAAGAUCAUCAUAUAAUUUGAAGCUAAAACUUCGGAGACAAAAUACAACUAUAAACGAAACUCCUGGUACCACUGAAUCCGACAUCCAACACAUUGUCUUCACCUGGAGAUGAAUUCUGGUUGAGAAAGUCCGAUGAAUCUAGCCAGUCUUCCCAAGACGAUGCAGAGAUUUCAUAGAUGAAGUAUUUGUUGGGAAUGUCCUGAAAUUUGUUGUACUAACUCUAGUAGAAGUUGUAACGUCGAGGUUUCGACAAUUGUAUAAUAUUAGAUGGUUAUAA